UACUCCUACGGGAGGCAGCAGUGGGGAAUAUUGGACAAUGGGCGAAAGCCUGAUCCAGCCAUGCCGCGUGUGUGAAGAAGGUCUUCGGAUUGUAAAGCACUUUAAGUUGGGAGGAAGGGCAGUAAGUUAAUACCUUGCUGUUUUGACGUUACCGACAGAAUAAGCACCGGCUAACUCUGUGCCAGCAGCCGCGGUAAUA
rnacentral:rRNA from 1 species